UACGAAGGGGGCUAGCGUUGCUCGGAAUGACUGGGCGUAAAGGGCGCGUAGGCGGAUGGCUUUGUCGGGCGUGAAAUUCCAGGGCUUAACCUUGGGGCUGCGUUCGAGACGGGUUGUCUUGAGUGGGGAAGAGGGUCGUGGAAUUCCCAGUGUAGAGGUGAAAUUCGUAGAUAUCGGGAAGAACACCCGUGGCGAAGGCGGCACUCUGGGACGGUACUGACGCUGAGACGCGAAAGCGUGGGGAGCGAACAGG
rnacentral:rRNA from 1 species